rnacentral:rRNA from 1 species
GACGAACGCUGGCGGCGUGCUUAACACAUGCAAGUCGAACGGAAAGGCCCUGCUUUUGUGGGGUGCUCGAGUGGCGAACGGGUGAGUAACACGUGAGUAACCUGCCCUUGACUUUGGGAUAACUUCAGGAAACUGGGGCUAAUACCGGAUCGGAGCUCCUGCUGCAUGGUGGGGGUUGGAAAGUUUCGGCGGUUGGGGAUGGACUCGCGGCUUAUCAGCUUGUUGGUGGGGUAGUGGCUUACCAAGGCUUUGACGGGUAGCCGGCCUGGGAGGGUGACCGGCCACAUUGGGACUGAGGUACGGCCCAGACUCCUACGGGAGGCAGCAGUGGGGAAUAUUGCACAAUGGGCGGAAGCCUGAUGCAGCAACGCCGCGUGCGGGAUGACGGCCUUCGGGUUGUAAACCGCUUUCGCCUGUGACGAAGCGUGAGUGACGGUAAUGGGUAAAGAAGCACCGGCUAACUACGUG